rnacentral:rRNA from 1 species
UACGAAGGGGGCUAGCGUUGCUCGGAAUCACUGGGCGUAAAGGGCGCGUAGGCGGCCAUUCAAGUCAGGGGUGAAAGCCUGUGGCUCAACCACAGAAUUGCCUUUGAUACUGUUUGGCUAGAGACCGGAAGAGGUAAGUGGAACUGCGAGUGUAGAGGUGAAAUUCGUAGAUAUUCGCAAGAACACCAGUGGCGAAGGCGGCUGCCUGGACCUUUGCUGACGCUGAGGCGCGAAAGCGUGGGGAGCGAUCCGG